rnacentral:rRNA from 1 species
AGCGAACGCUGGCGGUAGGCCUAACACAUGCAAGUCGAACGGCAGCACAGGAGAGCUUGCUCUCUGGGUGGCGAGUGGCGGACGGGUGAGGAAUACAUCGGAAUCUACUCUGUCGUGGGGGAUAACGUAGGGAAACUUACGCUAAUACCGCAUACGACCUACGGGUGAAAGCAGGGGAUCUUCGGACCUUGCGCGAUUGAAUGAGCCGAUGUCGGAUUAGCUAGUUGGCGGGGUAAAGGCCCACCAAGGCGACGAUCCGUAGCUGGUCUGAGAGGAUGAUCAGCCACACUGGAACUGAGACACGGUCCAGACUCCUACGGGAGGCAGCAGUGGGGAAUAUUGGACAAUGGGCGCAAGCCUGAUCCAGCCAUACCGCGUGGGUGAAGAAGGCCUUCGGGUUGUAAAGCCCUUUUGUUGGGAAAGAAAUCCAGCUGGCUAAUACCCGGUAGGGAUGACGGUACCCAAAGAAUAAGCACCGGCUAACUUCGUGCCAGCCGCCGCCGUAA